UUUCUUUUGAAAAGAUGCCAGCAUAUUGAGCAGGAUGGAAACAACAAACAUACUGGAUUUAACAAUACAGUAAGAACAUGAGGCCAACCGGGAACCAUGUGAGAGAGCUUAAGGCAGAUUCUCUGAAGCCACACCAGGAUUCCUGACCACAAAGUCUCUGACAUGAGAAAUGCUGUUGAUGAACCUCAGGGUGAUUUCAUCCCAUUCCUCAGGCAACAGCAUCAGCAGAAACCCAAUGCAGAUGAUGAUGGUAGCAGCCAGGCGGACAACAUUGAAUAUCACCUCCUGCUUUAGGAGAUCCACAGCUAGGAAAGAAAAAUCAAGUUUCUCUAGAAAUAUCCUGGAAAAAUAGCUUCUCUUGUCCCUGAGAGACAGCCCCAUGGCAGAGCAGCAAAAGAGGACCAGUGCUCCACCUUGGUGAAAUACAAGAUGACUGGGGUGAAGGAGAUGAAGAUCAAAUUGAAGAAACCCAAGGUGGAGACAAAGUGUGCAGCUUCCCCAAAGUUGGCACUUCCAAGAAACAUUUUAAACAAGACCUGGAAUGAGAAAGAAACUCUACAGCCACACAGAAACUUAGCCAGAGCAGAAACAAAAACACAAAACGACUCUUCUUGGCCUCAGCUUUCUGGAAAUGUGUCUGCAGGAAGCCAGUGCCUAAAAUAUUGUGUCAAAAAUGCUCAUAUGUGUUCAUUCACAUGAAGACAACCACUAAAGUGCUCCUGGGACACAUUAACAUCCAUGAGAGGAAUUCUUCUGCUGAAAAUACACCAUCUAGUGGUGCCACCUGCUCGGCUUCUGAAAAAUCUGUCUCUUGACAAUCUAUUCCAGUUCCAGCCUCUUAACCAACCAGAAGUGUCUAAAUAAGAUGGAAAACUAGGCCAGGCACAGUGGCUCACGCCUGUAAUUCCAGCACUUUGGGAGGCCCAGCUAGGUGAGUAUGAAGCAGCUGGUUCACAAAUGAACCCUUGAAUUCCAAAGCCUACAGCAGCCCCUAAAAAUGCAGAUCUCAGACCACACUGCUGGCAGCUGCUGUGCUCAAGUUGAAGACUAAAGGUCAGUAGUUGAGGUUGGGACACACAUUAAUAGUUUGACGAAUGAGAAACAUGCUAAUGAUUAUCUCUCUGGGUAAAUUUAGAUACAGUUGAUUUUCAAGGAACUAUGGCUAUACAGAAUCCUUAAACUUCUGCAUAUGUUAUAUUUAAGGUUCUAUGGAAAACUUUCUUUUUUACUCAGAUUCAAUUAAACUGAACAAGUGCUGAAAUGUGAAAAAUAAGAGGUGUGGCAAUCUAUAGCUGUCCAGAUGCUGUGUGUGACAGGGGGAAGGGGGGUACCUUGGAUAGCAGCAAACCCAAGGGAUGCUGGGCCUCUGAACUCCCCCUCUCCCUACAUGCAUGGAUUUUUAUCUGAAUAAAAUCCAUUUGAAAAUGAUCUCAGAGGGAGACCUGGAUGUCAAAGUUGUAAAGAAAUCCCACGAAGAAAGAGUGAAGGAUAUAUGUGGAGGGUAGACACAUUGACUGCACCAUGUUGAAGGGGUUACAGAUUCCUUGAGGGUGUAAAAUCGGACAGCCAGCACAACCCAGCUGUCUCCUCUCUUGGCUAUAUUCAUAAGUCAUUGUCCUGCCAAGAUAGGGGUAAGAGGGAGGAUGACUCCCACUGUCCAUCCUCCACUGCCUCUUCCAGGAAGCAUGGAAGCUCUGGGCAGAGAAUUCUGCAUUGCACAUGAAUAAAGAGGAGCCAAAGGCAAGAUGGAAACAAAUUGUCAAGUUACGUGUCAUCUUAAUUCUUAAUAUUUAAUAUCAGCAUAAAUCAGUAGCAGCUCAGCUCCAAUGUACUGUUUUAGCCUUCAGGGGCCCAAUUUGAAUUCAAAGAAGUAUAUGCUAUACCAUGAAAGAUUCAGUUUAACUGAUGUACUUCAGUCAGUUUUUGGUAGAUCCUGGAAAGUCUUUGAAAACAGCUAUAGUUUGGGAAGCUAACUAACUGCACAGGGACCCAAAUAUAGCUGGAAAAUAUGUGGCUCCCAAGCCAGAGGGACACUAAUGCAUUUCACAGUCUGCUAAGACAGUUGGGAUCUGCUGAACCAUCCACCAACCACCAACAUUCUCCAUAUCUUCAAGGAAAUUGGAAAAUAUAAGAAAAAUUUGAAUGAAUAGUAUAAAAAAAUAAGAGAGGGACAAAAUCUGAAAGAAAGUUUCUACCAUUCUAGUCUGGCAUCUACUUUUCAUUGGUGUAAAACAGAUACCAACAGCAGAGAAGAAAGCUCCCAGCCAGUGGCACAUUCCCCUUGGGAAGAACCUUUUUUUAAAAAAAAAAAAAUUAAGGUGGGUUCUCUGGUUCUUACGAAUUUAAGAACUCUAGCUAAACAUAAUAAGGUCUGAGAGACAGGAGAACACCUAUUUUCAAGGCUGCAAGAGCUGGAUUAUCACUUUCUAACAUUUUUGCAAUCAAAAAAUUAUCUUUUAAAGAAGUUUACUAAUUUUCAUGGGAUGAUCACAGAUUAGCUGCAAGCAAUUUGCUCAUGAAAGGGCUUUUUAUAACACAUCAUAGAUUACCAAUAAAUGGGCUGAAAUGACUUCAUACUAAAUGUAAAACAGAUUACCUUUCCAUCUGUAAUUCAGUGUUCAAAAGAAACAAAAUAUUAGCAAGUUAUUCAUAAUACAUAAUUCAUUUUUAUGUGAGCAUUAGUAAUUCUGGCCUACUUGUGGUCCGGAUAAACCCAUAUUUAUGAUGUUGUAACUUAAAGUGUCUUUCACUCUGUUCAUGGUGUUCUUUUUACAUUAAAAAAAAAAAUUAGAAGUAGGGAAGGCCAUAGCUUCUCAUUUUAAAUGUGCUCAUUCCUGGGGAGCUAAGCAUAUGAAAAUUAUAAUCCAACAAACAUCUGUUUCUAAACUACUGAUGCUUUAGCAUGAACUAGAAAUAUAAAUUUUAAUCUGAUGACUGAAAG
rnacentral:lncRNA from 1 species